UGCUCCGCCACGCGAGGGUAAAGUUAAAUUCAUUCAUAUCGUAUAGAACAGUUUUAACUCCAAACAACUGCAAGGUUUGCAUAUUCCAAUAAUUGCCACCUAAUAACCGUGUUUAGUUUAACUUUGAAAUAACAUGCAAAGUCUCUUUCUCCUACGCAUAACCAUAUCGAAAUAGAAUUUUUCUCAAUGCGGAUACAUUUCACGAUAUAUAUCUCACCAAGCGGUUAAUACUAAAUUUUUUUACGUCUAAUGUGUUUUACUGUCAUAUAUAAUGCUCAUAUUUCGUUAAUAAGUACAAUUGUCAAUUAUGACGCAAAAAUUGCAAAAUUUUAUUAAUCAAAUUGUCACACAAAAUAAUAUCAACGUAUUAAGCCAUGGACCAGUACGCACGUAAUUUGUCUCCUAGCAACGUAAUGUUACGUCAAAGAAGACCCAGUUUGAUGGUUCUCAGUCUGUCGGAGUCGCUUUUUACAAUGGAUAGCAUCGUCGACUCGUUCCAAAGCAAAUCGACAUGCAUCAGUGAAGAUAAUGUUUCGUCAGACUUUGAUAAAGGGGGCUGUGACGUAAACAAUACAAGCAAAAGACACAUUGAAAGAAACGACUAUAUACGAGGUGUCGCAAACGAGCUUAGCAAGAAAUAUGAGCAGCCUAGCCAAUCAGAAGCGAAGGAAUUUCAAGGUAUAGUAACGUGGUUUCGGUCUAUUGUUUUUGCAACGUACCGUAUCCUAUUUCUGUUUUCGCGUUUGCGUAACUUAAUACCAGUCUAUACCCCCCGCUAACGAAAUUAGGAAGCGCACAACAUUUUGUACACGGAAAAUAACUGCCAUUUUAGCGACAAAAGUGCUAACUUAGUUCAGGGUUGUCAGUAAACAUAAAAUACUUCGGGUCGUGGGCUAUAAUUUCGUUUGCUUCCUUCCCGUUUCGUCUGUUUUGGUCCAUAUCAAUAGAAAUAAUGGAGUAGUGCGAAAUUACUGCUCAGUUACUUAAAAACGAGCCUACAGUGUAAAUAUAUCAGCAAUGCCUCGACUACUGCGCAAUAUCCGGUAUUUUUGUUACUGGGUACGAAAAAAUGUCGAAGUUUUUGUACCUGGACGAAAACAAAACCAGUCACCCGUGCGAUGACGUCACAAAAGGAGAGACGGCUUUUCACGUGCUUAGCGUAGUUGGAAAACAAUAUCUCUCUCACGUACACAAUGUUUUCAAGACCGUUAUUGCCGCGUGGCCUGUUUGUCUUCUGACAAAACCUUGUGCUCGCAAUGAUUCAGCGGCACAAACAAAACCGGAGCAGCAAACAUAAUAGCCUUGGAUGAACC